GCUUGACCCUAAACACAGAUGUUAUAAUACAAUACCAUCCGCCAGAGAACUACAAGCGAAAAGCUAGAAACUCCAAGGACUUGGCGGUGCUUUAAACCAACCUAGAGGAGCCUGUCCUAUAAUCGAUACUCCACGUUUUACCUUACCCCCGCUGGCCAACCAGCCUAUAUACCGCCGUCGUCAGCCUACCUUGUGAGAGAAACAAAGUAAGCAAAAUAAUUAGUAAUUAAAACGUCAGGUCAAGGUGUAGCACAUGCAGGGGCAGAGAUGGGCUACAUUUUCUAAAAUGAACACACAGACAGAGUGUUGAAACACAUGUUAGAAGGUGGAUUUAGUAGUAAACAAGGCAAGAAUGCCAUCUUGAAGCCUGCUCUGAAGCGCGC
rnacentral:rRNA from 1 species